rnacentral:rRNA from 1 species
UUCGGUUCACCGAGAAAUGGGAGUGGCGAACGGGUGAGUAACACGUGGGUAACCUACCCAUCAGCGGGGGAUAACACUUGGAAACAGGUGCUAAUACCGCAUAAUUCUUUUCUUCGCCUGGAGGAAAGAUGAAAGACGCUUUUGCGUCACUGAUGGAUGGACCCGCGCUGCAUUAGCUAGUUGGUGGGGUAACGGCUCACCAAGGCCACGAUGCAUAGCCGACCUGAGAGGGUGAUCGGCCACACUGGGACUGAGACACGGCCCAGACUCCUACGGGAGGCAGCAGUAGGGAAUCUUCGGCAAUGGACGAAAGUCUGACCGAACAACGCCGCGUGAGUGAAGAAGGUUUUCGGAUCGUAAAACUCUGUUGUUAGAGAAGAAUAAGGAUGAGAGUAGAAUGUUCAUCCCUUGACGGUAUCUAACCAGAAAGCCACGGCUAACUACGUGCCAGCAGCCGCGGUAAUACGUAGGUGGCAAGCGUUGUCCGGAUUUAUUGGGCGUAAAGCGAGCGCAGGCGGUUUCUUAAGUCUGAUGUGAAAGCCCCCGGCUUAACCGGGGAGGGUCAUUGGAAACUGGGAGACUUGAGUGCAGAAGAGGAGAGUGGAAUUCCAUGUGUAGCGGUGAAAUGCGUAGAUAUAUGGAGGAACACCAGUGGCGAAGGCGACUCUCUGGUCUGUAACUGACGCUGAG